UCUUGCGUCAACUCCCGCUUCCAAAGUUCAGAAACGCAAACUUCCCCAAAUUCAAGCUAGGUAUUCUUUGGUUGACUUCGCUAGGUAUUCUUCAAGUUAGGUAUCCUUUGAUUGACUUCGCUUUCUCUUCCCACCGCCUCCGUCCGACACCACCACCGGCGACCACCAUCGCCUACCCUCUCUUUCUUCCUUCUUCUCUUUCUUCCCCAUUUCUCCAUUUCUUCAUUCCUGCGUGUGACACCCCUGUUCGUGGAGUCACCCUCUGUCCGCGUCUUCAAGCACUGACAAGAAACCACCAGCGGCAGUGACCUUCUGUGCCACCGCGACAUCACCACCACCUCACCGCCUCUCCGUUCUUCUUCCUCCUUUCAUGAAUGCAGCACACUACACUACAACUACUACUUUCGGCAGAACAGAAAAGUACAUAAUAUAAAAGCCUCUUGCUAGCUACUACUUUCAGAAUGCAGAUACCAUCCAAGUUAGUGUUCUCUUUAACAGCUUAGGGCCAUUAUCAGCGUCUGCUGUGCCUGUUGCAGAGUACAUUCCAAGUCAGGAAUCAGGAGUUAGGAUCAAAUUAAUGUCCUAAAUCCUAUAUGUUAGCAUGAUUUUUUUUGGGUAUUUUUUUAACUGAAGUUGAAUUAUUACCUUCAGCCCAGGAUGAAGUCAGGCUCCUUGUUGUGGAUAUUAAACUAGAUGUACUCUGCUAUGCUUCUAAGAAGCUCCCCUUGAGGCAUGCAGUUUCAAGAUUAACCAUCCCUGGUUUAGCUGAUCAGUUAAAUGCAUUGCAGAUUCAAUGUUGCCUAACCUUUUGGGACAACACCCGCAGGUGAGGCAAUGCAUUCAUAUAUUGGUUAAUGGAUUGAUCAAGGAGGCCAUUCAUGUAAUUGGCUAUGGAUAUGAAGAGAAUACUGAAUGGGGAAAAGAGAUUGGUUGGAUUUAUAGAUCAGUGAUAGAGGAUAUCUUAACUGGAUUCAAGAUGCACUGUAGAGGAUGGAGAUCAAUUUAGUGCAUGCCAUUAAGGCCAGCAUUCAAAGGGUCAUUAUCAUUCCAACGGUAGUUUCUUGUUGCUUAUUGUUCCUUGCCAGCAAUUUGCCUUCUCUCUGGAAAGUUCAUCAUUCCAACGGGAUGGGGUUGUGCUUAUCGCUCUCUCCAGACUAUCAUUUCAUGGUUCAGACUCCAAAACUACUCAUCUAUAGAGGUUUCUUCUCAUAGAUUUACAGCCAAUCUUAUCAAUGGUUUCCAUACUUCAGAAGGCGCAGAGCUAGCUAAGAAGCAAGUAUCAAAGCUGGGAAGAUUUUCUCCAUUAGCUUCUUAUGGAGUUUCUUCCAAUGGUUUUUCACUGCUGGUGAUGAUUGCGGAUUUUCAAGCUUCCCUACAGUUGGUCUACAGGCCUAUAAGAACAAGUUCUACUUUGAUUUUUCCGCUACUUAUGUUGGGAUUGGGAUGAUUUGCCCAUAUAUAAUCAAUGUAUCCCUGCUGAUUGGUGGAAUUCUCUCAUGGGGUGUCAUGUGGCCACUCAUUGCUAAUAAAAAAGGUGAUUGGUAUGAUGCAAAACUUAAGCCAAGCAGCUUAGAGGGCCUUCAAGGUUACAAGGCAAGUCAUCCUUUACCAUUCAAUUUUCACUAUGUUCCGUAUUUUGUAACAUUAACCUUUAGGUUAAUUAAAUGCUAAUUGAUUAAACGUUAACCUUUGGUUUUUCUGUUCUAACUGGACAACAUAUGCUGAGCCCUAGGCAAAGAAGGCUGAAAAAGAUCGUUAAUGGUGUAUGGUGUGGGUGGAAGAAAGCUGUUGAUAGCAAGGGAAAGAAUUUCUUCUUGCAUGAUAAGUUUUAUAAUCUCCUUCUACUACAAAGACCUAACAUGGUUUGAUAGGAUCAUUUUCAUGGAGGGUAACAGUUCUUAGUUUGUACCAAUUUUCUUGCAAUGGAACGGUAGUUUUUCAUGGUUAGAAUUUGAUAAUUCAGUUAAUUAGUUGACUUACUUUUGGGUUGGUGUUUGUAACUGGCAUUGUGUGACUGUAGUCUAUUAUACAGGAUUUACCGCUGUUAUCUAUUUGAGUUACUUGGACAAGUAAAUGAUGCCAGCAAAGGGUAUUCCAAGAUAAUUAAAGUAUUAUUUUAUCAUUUUA